GGAAGGCAAGAAGGCGGUUGAGGCAGGCAGUGUCGAGGGCGCUAAGGCGCUGCUGGGGGUGGGUGGUGAGCAACGAAGGGAGGCGACCACCACCUCCGCCGCCUCGUCGAAGGGCGUGAGCAACAAGCAAGUUUCGGACCAGUCAGUUCCACGGGCUGGUGGAGUCCUUGUUCGGCGUGUCCUGCUCACCCCCCGGCAGCCCAUCAGCGCGCUGCGGAUUUAUCGAGGCGAGCCGCGCGAGGCGCAGCAGAGCUCUCCGUUAUCAGCAGAGUGACGUCACCAGCGCGUCACCAGCGUCACGGAGCCGCCGUGCAUAAAGAGCAAGGGAAGCACCAACGGCGGGGCUGACGCACCAACACCAGCAGCUCCGGGGGCUCCGGGGUUGAACUUGCAGCUCGGCGGCGCAAGUGGCGUGGCGUGGCAUUAUGCAGAGCACCCCCCGGCCCCUUUCACCCUUCCCCGCCGCAACGCUAAUGAACCACGAUCCUCCACACUACAGCCCCUACAACGAGCACGGAGCACCUUCUGCGGGGGAGGAAAGGGAGGGGGCGUCACGGUGUAGAACAACGGCGAGUGCAACGAGAAUGCAGUAUCGACCGUCACAAAAAGCGGAGGUCUUUGUUCAUACAGACGACCCGAGUUCUAGAUGUAUUUUGCCAAGAGGGCAGGGAGAGAAAAGGCAACUAUGAUGACAGCUCCUAUUUCGUUUUUUGUUUGUUUGCUGUCUUUGAUGGCUGCAUAUUUCUGUUAGAGAUUUAUUUCUCACUUCAAAGAAUUAAUAAACAGUGCUUUGAGCAAAGGACAGGAAGUUAACACAUGUUUUAUAUUAUACAGGGUCGUCCACAGACCCCUUCCUUUAUUUUGCUUAUACUGUACCGGAUGCAGGCGUGCGACCGGGUUGCAUACUCGCACGGGGCCAUAAGGCGCCGUAGUGAGCGACGAUAGGCAAGCCCGCCCGCACGCCUGCAUGCGGUAAAGGAAGGGGUCUGUGGACCACCCUGUAUUGGUUGCAAUGCUCAAGCUUGUCUAAAACAUAUUUUGCAACAACAUCAAAAGAGACAUUGUUCUAAUUGAAUGUGCUCAAGAGGAACUGAAAAUUAGGUAUUUAAUAUAAAAUAAACCUUCCAGCUGAAAUACUCAUUUUAAAAAGUUGUGAAACAGCGUAAUUUUAUAAUAGUCAUUAAAAUGGAGGUAAGAGAGGGAAAUCUCUGAAGUAUAAAAUUCUUACUCCCUAUUUAGUGCUGAGAUGCGGAAAAGGAUCAAAACAAUAAACAUCAACAUUAUAACCCAGUCAGGAGUGUAUCACAAGUUCCUAGUGCAAAA